AUACGGAGGAUGCGAGCGUUAUCCGGAUUUAUUGGGUUUAAAGGGAGCGCGGACGGGUGAUUAAGCCAGCUGUUAAAUUUCGGGGCCCAACCCCGUUAUGCGGUUGAUACUGGUUAUCUUGAGUGCGGCAUGGGCAGGCGGAAUUCACGGUGUAGCGGUGAAAUGCUUAGAUAUCACUCAGAACACCGAUUGCGAAGGCAUCUGACGAAUCCGUCACUGACGCUGAGGCACGAAAGCGUGGGGAUAGAACAGGAUUAGAUACCCUGGUAUUCCACGCCGUAAACGAUGAUGACUAACCGUCGGCGAUAGACAGCCGGUGGCCAAGCGAAUGCGAUAAGUCAUCCACCUGGGGAGUACGUCGGCAACGAUGAAACUCAAAGGAAUUGGCGGGG
rnacentral:rRNA from 1 species